rnacentral:rRNA from 1 species
GUGGGGAAUAUUGGACAAUGGGCGAAAGCCUGAUCCAGCCAUGCCGCGUGUGUGAAGAAGGUCUUCGGAUUGUAAAGCACUUUAAGUUGGGAGGAAGGGCAGUAAGCUAAUACCUUGCUGUUUUGACGUUACCGACAGAAUAAGCACCGGCUAACUUCGUGCCAGCAGCCGCGGUAAUACGAAGGGUGCAAGCGUUAAUCGGAAUUACUGGGCGUAAAGCGCGCGUAGGUGGUUCAGCAAGUUGGAGGUGAAAUCCCCGGGCUCAACCUGGGAACUGCCUCCAAAACUACUGAGCUAGAGUACGGUAGAGGGUAGUGGAAUUUCCUGUGUAGCGGUGAAAUGCGUAGAUAUAGGAAGGAACACCAGUGGCGAAGGCGACUACCUGGACUGAUACUGACACUGAGGUGCGAAAGCGUGGGGAGCAAACAGGAUUAGAAACCCCAGUAGUCC